rnacentral:rRNA from 1 species
GCCUAUGGAGGAGCUCGCGGCUGAUUAGCUAGUUGGUGGGGUAAAGGCUUACCAAGGCGACGAUCAGUAGCUGGUCUGAGAGGAUGAUCAGCCACACUGGGACUGAGACACGGCCCAAACUCCUACGGGAGGCAGCAGUGGGGAAUUUUCCGCAAUGGGGGCAACCCUGACGGAGCAACCCCGCGUGAGGGAAGAAUGGUUGUGGCCAGUAAACCUCUUUUAAUAGGGAAAAAAACUGACGGUACCUAUUGAAUAAGCAUCGGCUAACUCCGUGCCAGCAGCCGCGGUAAUACGGAGGAUGCAAGCGUUAUCCGGAAUUAUUGGGCGUAAAGGGUCCGCAGGUGGUUAAUCAAGUCAGCUGUAAAAUACUCAGGCUUAACUUGGGAUGUGCGGUUGAAACUGAAUGACUAGAGUACGGAAGGGGUAGAGGGAAUUCCUAGUGUAGCGGUGAAAUGCGUAAAUAUUAAGAAAAACACCAGUGGCGAAGGCGCUCUACUGGACCUGUACUGACACUGAGGGACCAAAG